rnacentral:lncRNA from 1 species
AGGCUGAAACCCUAGGGAACACACUGAAAACCCUGUGCCCAAUUUUCUUUCUUUUCUUUCUUUUUCUCUCGGAAGGUUUUGGACCUUCACCUCAUGCACAAGGCUUUCUCACGCCCCAUUUUCUCUCUCAAAAUUUUUCUAUGCACGCCCCAUCCUUCUCCUCUUUUUAAAACAACAUCGAACGUAUCUUAUCCGUGUGAGAG